rnacentral:rRNA from 1 species
GACGAACGCUGGCGGCGCGCUUAACACAUGCAAGUCGAGCGAGAACCAGGACUUCGGUCCUGGGGACAGCGGCGAACGGGUGAGUAACACGUGGGUAAUCUGCCCUCGGUUCCGGGAUAGCCCGGGGGAAACUCGGAUUAAUACCGGAUAGCCUCAGGAGCCUUCGGGCGAAUGAGAAAAGGUAGCUUUGGCCUCUGACCGAGGAUGAGCCCGCGGCGGAUUAGCUUGUUGGCGGGGUAAUGGCCCACCAAGGCGACGAUCCGUAGCUGGUCUGAGAGGACGAUCAGCCACACUGGGACUGAGACACGGCCCAGACUCCUACGGGAGGCAGCAGUGGGGAAUCUUGCGCAAUGGGCGAAAGCCUGACGCAGCGACGCCGCGUGGGGGAAGAAGGGCCUUAGGGUUGUAAACCUCUUUCA